GACGAACGCUGGCGGCGUGCUUAACACAUGCAAGUCGAACUAAGUGGCGAACGGGUGAGUAACGCGUAAUCAACCUGCCCUUCAGCGGGGGACAACAGUUGGAAACGACUGCUAAUCCCGCCUUCUGACGGAGGGGAUUGCGUGUGAUUAGCUAGUUGGAGGGGUUACGGCCAACCAGGGCGUGGAUCAGUAACCGGGCUUAGCGGGUUAAAGGCCAAAAUGGGACUGAGUCCAGGCCCAGACUCCUACGGGAGGCAGCAGGGGGGAAUCUUCCACAAGGGACGAAAGUCUGACGGGGCAACGCCGCGUGAGUGAUGACGGCUGUCGGGUUGUAAAGCUCUGUUAAUCGGGACGCGGUACCGGAAUAGAAAGCCACGGCUAACUACGUGCCAGCAGCCGCGGUAAUAC
rnacentral:rRNA from 1 species